rnacentral:rRNA from 1 species
UACAGAGGGUGCAAGCGUUAAUCGGAAUUACUGGGCGUAAAGCGUGCGUAGACGGUCAUGUAAGUCGGAUGUGAAAGCCCCGGGCUCAACCUGGGAAUUGCAUUCGAGACUGCAUGGCUAGGGUGCGGAAGAGGGAAGCGGAAUUUCCGGUGUAGCGGUGAAAUGCGUAGAUAUCGGAAGGAACAUCAGUGGCGAAAGCGACUUCCUGGUCCAGCACCGACGUUCAGGCACGAAAGCGUGGGGAGCAAACAGG